CCCAGAUUAAAAACAAAACUAAAAUUAAAUAAAGAAGAUACUUUACUUUACAAUUUUAAGGUACUUCCGGGUCAAGCGAGGUCACUUCCUGUAUACCUGUAUCCCAGUCACCCAUGUCACUUCCUCUUUCCACUCUUCCACCUGAGAGCCCAGCGAGAGAAACAGAAUUUCUCCUCAGUCAACGGUUUUUUUGUUUUUAAAGGAGCACUAUGAUGGCGAGCUACCACGACGGACAAGGAGAACAGGAGCAUGCCUUCCACAGACUGUGGACGUUUUCUUCUGGCAUAAAUCCUCUUGGAGACCAAAACCUGGAAAUGAGGCACGCACAAUGUUGUGGUUAGGUUGAGGUUAAGGUUAGGGAUAAAGUUUAGUUUAUGCUGUGGCCAAUGCAGUAGCUUAAGAAGAAAUGUGUCCGUUGUGUCUUGUUUCCACUGAGAGAAUAGUGCGAUUGAUUGGGCGAUAGGAAAAAAAGGUGUAAAAAGGUUACUGUUCUAAGUCCAAACUCAAGCCUGACCCCGGGCUAUACCAUUCCAAACUAUACCGUACUUUAUCAAAACGAACCGUACCAUGAUGGAAACACAGCAUUAGCUUCCCCCAGCGUUUCAGAGCAAAGAGUUGUGCCAAAAUGGGAGUGAUUUGAUAUCUAUUUUUGAACACUUUUUUAAUCAUUUAAAUUUGUUAAGGUGGUUUGUAACACAUUAGGGUUGACAAAGGAUCUCAUAGGAGAUUUUUCUUUUAUGACAUUCAAACUGUUAGUUGGCUAUCUUCAGCAUACAGCAUAAUAGCUGUAAAAAUAAUUGCUCAUCACACAUGAAAACAUGAUAUAUAAUUUAGGGAAAGAAGUGACAUUAAUCGUAUUCUUUCUUUGGAAAGAUCUGUGAUCUUCAGUCCAAAUUCAAACUAGAAAUCUUCAUCCCGAAGUGAUUUUAAACAUACAAUGAAGGAAGUAGUAGCUGCAAACUACAUCUCUAUUAUUGAUGCCUUUGCUCUUUGUUUUUUGUGCAAAUUAUUUUGUGAUGUUGUAUUUGUUGUUGUCAAUAUGAUGUCUCACAGAGAUAAAAGAAAACCAGAUUCUAAUGUAGAUGUAACUUUAAUGUACAAAACUUGGACUGCCUAUAGAAUUGGAGCAGCUACACUGCUAAAAAUCUUUGUGGGAGCUGAGGCGAAACAGAUGUCAUCUGCUGCAUUGUAAGCGGUGUUACAUUUCUUCUACUGUUUUAGCCUCACAUUGUUUGGCGCACCGCACCAUUUCUCUCCGCUUCUCACAUCUGUCUGCUGUGGGUUGUCUCCUUUUUUCCCCCUCCUUUCUUUCUACACUGUUUUCUCUGAUACAAUUCUAGUUUUAGAGUCUUUUUCUGAGCUUCAAGAUUCACUCUUCAGUACUUCUCAAACAAGGUUCUUUGGACUUUUAGUUCAUCUUAACUGUUGGACUGUUUCUUUAAGAUGUUUGGCUCUGUUGAGGAAGGUUCCCAAGGGGCAUGCUUUUCAUCAUCUGCACUGUUGUGUUCUCCGUCCUGCCAACUUCCUUUCAAAAUGUCUGCUUUGGCUUCAGUGGACGCCAUUUUCCAGCACAUGCGUCUACAAGCGAACCUCAUGUAAGAAAUAAAAAGAGGCAAAGUCUAGAACCAUGUUACUGAGAAAUCAAUAGCUUCA